rnacentral:tRNA from 1 species
GCAAGUAUAGGUAAAUUGGCUAUACCUUUAGUUUUCCAAACUAAAAUAACAGGUUCGAAUCCUGUUUCUUGCU